GUUUUCGCAAUAGGGUUUGCAAUCUUUGUGUGUAUUCUAAUCUGUCUUCCACGCUUUGUAGGAUGCUUGUAGAACUGCCUUCAGCGAAUUAUGGAAAAGACUUUUGACUGUCAGAUUGAGUAUCAUAGACUGCGUGAAAAGUUGUAGAAGGGUUUAGGUUGUUGCGUUCAUGCUGUAACGGGGCAAGGCUUGGCCGAGCACGGGAAAGGAUUCCCUGUUGCUCUGAUGUUUGCUUAAGAAUUGUAGAAAGUAGUAGGAAUAGUGUGCUGAAAUAUAUUUAGGAUUAGGCGUUUUGCGUUGCUUCGCGAUGUACGGGUUAGGCGUGUGUGUAAGUAGUAUUUAGCUUAGGGAGGGGGAGAUGUUGUAGUAAGCGUCUUGCGGGGGCACGGGAUGUACGGGACAGGCCUCUCCCUAAACAUAGAGAGAUAGUGCUAUCGUGCUGACCUUGUUGCAGAGAAAACAGGAGAAGAAGAAGGAUGAUAAAAGAAUGUGGAAAUGGCCAAAUAAGGCACAAUGUUAUCUGGUGUGAACUAAUCAGAGUGGGACAUGACAGCACGGUUAUCUAGGUAAAAAUGUAUAUAAGCUGUGUUUAGUAGUGAAUAAACGCCAUUUGCCUCACUUACUCCUGGGGUCUGGGUGAGCAUCUGGCCCCGACCUGGUAAAGGGUCGGUUUCGCCCAGCAGUAAGCCCUACAUGUGGACAGAGGACGAACACCGGACGAGCGAACGGAGACUACAUGCAACAAGUGGUGACCCCGACGUGAUCUGUCUGCUGAGGGUGGCUGCCCGGCGUGCCCGUGACGCGGAGAAGAGCCUGUGAGGUGGCGGCAGGUCGCGCACGGAAGACGUAUUGCGGUUAAGAGCCUGCGAGGUGGCGGCAGGUCGCAUACGUAACAAUGGACCAAGUCAUUAAGGUACUUGUGCAGUUUUGUAAGGACUACUGUGGAAAAUCUGCUCCUUCCCGGAAGGAGAUCGCGGCAGUUUUGUCGCUAUUAAAUGAGCUGGGGGAGCUGGACUCUCCCCGCUACGUUUUGGAUUCGAGUAGGUGGGACUUGCUCACCUCGGCGCUAUGCCAGCGCGCCAUGGCCAGUCAGAAGGCUACGGAACUUAAAACGUGGGGACUGAUAUUAGGAGCCCUUAAAGCGGCCAGAGUUGAGGGAAAGGUAUUGGUGGAGGCUCGAUACCUUUUGGGUCUCAGCGGAGGAGGUGAGACACAGGACCCGGUCGGGUCCGAUGGGGGUUCGGGAGCAGUUUCUUGCAGGGGCCGAGAGGAGACGGAGCCGCCAAUGACCGUUGGCGGGAUGGCGCCGGCUGAGCCGACCGCGCUCAGUUCAAAAGAAGACAAACAACAAGAGAGUGAAAGUUCGUUGUCUCGUCCCCCUCUCCCGUAUCCACACCCCUCAGGCGGAACGUUGUAUCCUUUAUCAGAAUUACGUCAGUGUUACCUGACUCAAGAGGGCGGAGGAAGCUGUGAUCUACACGGGCAGGAUCAACUUAGUGCCCACAUGGGGAGGGACCAGACAAAAGGUCCGUCCAAUGCGGACAGGGGGCAUAGCCUACUGUCUCUGGUCACUCCCAGGGGCGGUAGUGCGAGUGAUAGUGUAGAGGAGAAAGAAGGGACUGGCUUUGAGUGCAGGGGGAGGGAUCAAAUGACGGACUGGAAUGGGAUUAGAUCGGAGGCUUUGGGAAAGGGUAUAGUUCCAGAGGCAUUCCGGGUGAUUGUGAGUGAUCGUGGUCCCGAAUGGGUGCCGCCUGACCCCGGGGGUGUUACGCGCCUGGUGGAAUUUAUGGAUAAAAGAGGCCUGAAAUCGCCUCUGACAUUAAAUGCACUACAAACUUUGGCUGCACUGGGGCCUCUCUUCCCCCGUGACAUCACAAACUUAAUGCGUACGGUGCUCAGGCUGGUUCAGUAUACGUUAUGGGAGACGGACUGGGUGGCCGAGUUGGGGGGCCGUGCCGGGGCGACAGGGGUCGGCUCGCGCCGCUCCCUGCAUGGGACCGGAAUCCAGCGGCUUUCAGGGAAGGCCGUGGGAGUGGCUUCGCCCCAGGGCCAGCUAGCGAGACUAAGGCCAGGGGAGCUAAUAGCAGCCACAAAUGCAACGGUGGAAGCGUUUAAUAAACUUGUGCAUAAGGCCGAACCACCUACUCCGUGCACAGAUAUUACCCAGGGCCCGAAUGAAUCCUUUCAAAGCUUUACAGACAGGCUUUUAGCUGCUGCAGAGGGGUCUGAUCUCCUGGAACCGGCCCAAGGGCCAGUGAUCAUUGACUGCUUGCAGCAGAAAUCGCAUGACAAUGUUAAGGCAUUGCUGCGAGCCGGCCGAAGUACGCUUAAUACCUCGGGAGCCGGCCGAAGUACGCUUAAUACCUCGGGAGAAGUUAUUCAGUAUGUCUUAGAUAAGCUCAAGGUGGCUCAUUUAACUAAUGAAAGGCUAGUCACAGCUAUUGUCGUAGCUGCUGGCCUGCGACAGCAAAGAUCGCUGCAGCAGCAAGGGCUGUGUUUCCGAUACGGCCAGUAUGGCCAUGUUAGAGCACAAUGCCCCUGUGGGGGAGGCCAGUCAGGGCCUCCUGAUCACAGGAAGGGCUUGCUGAAGGGUAUCCGUGGUCGGGUAUGCAGCAGUUAAACAUCAUGAAUCUGGGAAAUUCUGUGGGUACCAUCGCGAAAAGUAAUACCAGAUAUAAGUAGCAUAUCUGCAAAAACUGAGUCUAGGUGCGAGUUUUCUACAGAAAUUCUUCGUUGGCAGACCGAAGCCAACUCCAGAACAACUGAGGGACAGACGAUGGGAUCAAGAACCACUCGUCAAGAGGAGCACUACACCUGCAACGCUGACACUUCCGAUGUUGCUGAUAUUUAUGGUGUCCAUGGCGAUUACAGAGUGUCACAAACAACUACAAUGGACACAAGAACAUAUGCAGAAAAUUAAAGAAGAGCGUGAUCCCUUUGGAAGCUGGCUGGACGGACUGUUUGGGGGAACGGGUUCAUGGUUAAAGCAAUUGCUUAAAGCUCUCGCAGUAGGAUUUGCAAUCUUUGUGUGUAUUCUAAUCUGUCUUCCAUGCUUUGUAGGAUGCUUGCAGAACUGCCUUCAACGAAUGAUGGACAAGACUUUUGACUAUCACAUUGAGUAUCAUAGAUUGCGUGAAAAAUUAUAGAGGGGUUUAGGUUGUUGCGUUCGUGCUGUAACGGGGCAAGGCUUGGCCGAGCACGGGAAAGAAUUCCCUGUUGCUCUGAUGAUUGCUUAAGAACUGUAGUAGAAAAUAGUAGGAAUAGUGUGCUGAAAUAUAUUUAGGAUUAGGCGUUUUGCGCUGCUUCGCGAUGUACGGGUUAGGUGUGUGUGUAAGUAGUAUCUAGCUUAGGGAGGGGGAGAUGUUGUAGUAGGCGUCUUGCGGGGGCACGGGAUGUACGGGACAGGCCUCUCCCUAAACAUAGAGAGAUAGUGCUAUCGUGCUGACCUUGUUGCAGAGAAAACAGGAGAAGAAGAAGGAUGAUAAAAGAAUGUGGAAAUGGCCAAAUAAGGCACAAUGUUAUCUGGUGUGAACUAAUCAGAGUGGGACAUGACAGCACGGUUAUCUAGGUAAAAAUGUAUAUAAGCUGUGUUUAGUAGUGAAUAAACGCCAUUUGCCUCACUUACUCCUGGGGUCUGGGUGAGCAUCUGGCCCCGACCUGGUAAAGGGUCGGUUUCGCCCAGCAGUAAGCCCUACAUGUGGACAGAGGACGAACACCGGACGAGCGAACGGAGACUACAUGCAACAUA
ensembl:lncRNA